GAGCAUCACAGUAUUGUGCAACUCAUAUAUAAGAGCCAAGUGGAGUUAGUUUGACCAUGGUCAGAGGAGUACAGCUUGAACUCCAACGACAGGCUUAAGACUUAAGAAGAAAUUGAAG